rnacentral:rRNA from 1 species
GUCUUUUUUAAAGUCUGACCUGCCCACUGAAUUAUUUUAAAGGGCUGCAGUAUAUUGACUGUACAAAGGUAGCAUAAUCAUUAGUUUUUUAAUUGAAGACUUGUAUGAAUGAUUUGAUGAAAUAUAAACUGUCUCUUUAUUAAUAAUAGAAAUUAAUUUUUUAGUUAAAAAGCUAAAAUUUAUUUAAAAGACGAGAAGACCCUAUAGAGUUUUAUAUUUAAAUUUAUAUUAAUUCUUUAUAAAAUUUAUAUUUAAUAUUUUUUUAAUUAUUUUAUUGGGGUGAUAGAAAAAUUUAUUAAACUUUUUUUAAAAUUUUUACAUUAAUAUAUGAAAUUUUGAUCCAUAAUUUAUGAUUAAAAGAUUAAAUUACCUUAGGGAUAACAGCGUAAUUUUUUCUUAGUCUCAGACCGUAAUGCCCC